UUAAAAGCUUUCUUUUUCCUGGCACUAAUUUUGGGGGUUUUGACGAGUUUUCUGACGAAUCCUGCAAUGGCUGAGAGGUCCCCCCCCCUCCAUCCCCCGGAGGAGGUAACAAACCUGGAGAUAGCCUGCCUGUCUGUCCUUGCUCAAUCUGCCCGACAGAUAAAGCUGUGCUAUACUCCCUUUCGCUGCUUCUUGGCUGCUCUCCAAUCCUGGAGCUUUCUCUGGUAUGUUCUGUUCUAACUUCUAACAUAAUUCUCCCAGCGGAUAAAAGCUUCGCUGCUGUCUUGUCUUUACGUGUCGCUUUGUCUUACAAAGCUCUAUUUACUUCCUGCCAAAAACCUGGCUCAAAAACAGAAUGGGUGUCACAUUGUGAAUAGUUACAUUUCACCCAAAGCAUUAGGGCUUCAAGCUCUUUAUCUUUCAGAGCUACAUUGUAUUUUGAUAUUAUUUCUUUUAGUGUUUCUAAUAUGGUAAUUCGUUCUUGUGAAGUGGUUUCCCCCCAUGUUAUGUUCUAGAUCUGACUGUUCUUACCAAAGCACAAAGGCUUGUGUGCAGCCGUGUCAAAUUCGCCUCAGAGGUGUCCUGAUCACUGUCCAGCAGGUUUCAGGGUGACAGAUUCCAGGGCCCUUGGAGAUCUGCCGUCUGGGACGAAUUGGAGACGAGCUGUUCUGGCCAGAAGUGUGAUUCUUCUCUGGAGCUGUGUCGGUUUGGCACUUUGAUCUUCCAAGAGCUUGUGAUGUUCCAUGCAGAGGUUUUAUUUUGACCCUUUUAGUGCUCCUUUACAGGAGGCCACUCAGGGACGCCAGAUGUUGGUGGCUUUCCCUGACAUUCAGGUGGUUUUAGAGUCUUUUUGCCCUCUGCAAAGCUCUGUGCCAAACGGAUGAAAGAGACAGAGUCUUCAAGUUCUGAUUUUUCAAGGUUGCAUGCUUCGUUUAUUUCUCUUAUCUUACAAUUUUCUCAGUGCCCAACAAGAUGUUCGCAGCUGCUCAGACAUCUGACGACUCCUCCCGAACUGGGCAGUCGUUAUCUUUUAUACUAAUUGCUACGUAUUCUUUAUUUAUCAUUUCUUGCCAAUGCCUAUUACUAAUACUAAACAGGUCAUCUCUACCUUGACCCAAUCCCCAUUAAACUACUUUGUGCCAACGUCACUGCUGAAAUGGAGUGAGGGAAGAAGAAAGAAGAAGCAGGAGACAAUGCCCCAGAUUCUCCAUCUUGCCCCCAUUCACUUCAAUGCUAGAAACCUAAAUUUACUGUUUUUUCACCCUGUGAUAAGCUAAACUACUAUCUUUCACACUCUUGUGGCCUGCAAACCCUCUUGCAGUGCAGGAAGCCUUUCCCAUGGACUGAGAUCAAAGCCAGUGUCUCUCUGAGCUCUGGGCUGGGGUCCCAGACCCCCCUGUCCAGGUCUCUGACCCUCCAGGGCAGCCAAAGGAAUGCCCUGGACUCCAACAAAUGCAGAAGAAAGAGAGAAAGAGCCAGAGCUGUGGAGCUGCUCAUGGGACUGCAACAUAGAAAAGACUGACCAUCCAUCCUCCCAGUCCAGAGCCAUCAGCCAGUCUGGGCUCUGGCAAGUCCUGUGCCUGCUCCUGAAGGGCACUGAGUUACGCUGGAGUACCCAAAGGAAAUACACGGACGGGAAAACUACAGCUGCAGGACUACAGAUACAUCCAAGGAGUAACAGCUUCCCCCACUGACCAAGAGUAGAUCUAGAUUGGGUGCUAUGAAGAAAUUGUUCCCUGUAAGGAUUGUGAGGCCCUGGCACAGGAUCCCAGAGAAGCUGUGGCUGCCCCAUCCCUGGAAAUGUCCAAGGCCAGGUUGAACAGGACUUGGAGCAACCUGGGAUAGUGGAAGGUGUUGUUGCCGUGGCAGGGGGUGGAAUGAGAUCACUUUAAGGUCCCUUCCUGGGAUUCUGUGAUUCUAUGAAGUGCAACAUAAAGAUAAUGGUGUAAAAAACAGUCUGACACAUGACUUACAAAAAAUUCAAACCCAUGAUAAGUAAUUUUUCAAUCUUGGCAGAAGCAGGAGGCCUGAAAGAUGAUUUCUAAUACCAGUCUGCCAUGGAGGGCUAACAGGAACAUGCAGAAAAGACAUAAUUGGGACAGAAAACAGCAGUGAGUUUUUUGCAUGUGUUUGAGGAGUAGGAGGAGGGUGGGGAGUUCCCAGACAAGAACUCAUGAGCUUGCCUGAGGAUCUGUCUCAUGCCGAAGCAUCAGGUUGGGGUAGAAUCAAUGGACACAGUGAAUAAUAACAACCUAACCAUUGCCAGAUGGUCCUCCCUGCACCCUUGGAGUGGGUAAAACUGCUUCCACACAGCCUCAGGACAUGGCUGAGGCUCCCAGCUUUUACAAUCCAUUCCCAGGGAGACUCAGCAAGCAACUGACAGUUGUGACCGAGAAAGCUCAGCAAAGUUUCACAAACCUUCCUACCUUUCACACUGAUUUUUAACUUAUUUUACUAGAAGUCUUCCUAGAAGCUAUUUGAAGAUUCCCAGAGAAUUUGGGGGUGAGCAAGUCUGUGAGCAGAUCCUUUGACCAAAGCUGACUCAGUCCUAGAAGACCCCCAAGGCUUCUGCAAAGUCAAGACUGUGAAUGCAAGGGGCCAUCUCCAAGAAUGUAAAACCCCCCCAACACUUUAUGGCAGGCAGCAGAUAUUGAUUUGCAGCCCCAUUUCCUUCCUUCCAGCUGGCUCUGAGCUCACAGCCAGUGGGAACUUCAGGUUUCUCAUGGGAUGGGCUUGAGAAAGGUAGGAUUUAGUGUUCAGAGCACAAAUUGUGUUCUGUCCAGCCCAGUCCUAGGUCAGAGGGAGCCAGGGCCAGACAAGGCUGUUGACAGAUUUCAAGGUUGUCUUCUGCCUUUCAGGGCAGCCACCCUUGAAGGCCCAGUUCAGCAAAGAGUCCUAAAAAAGCAUUAGCUGUAGGGGUUCUUUUGAGAGAACAGGCGUCCCAUCGAUGGCAAAAGGAAAGAGUCCAGGGGGGAUCAGGGCUUUAUUUUUGACCUGCCCCUCCAGCUCAUUCCCUGUCCCCGUCCCAAUGCAAAGAGGCUGCUCCUCCUCCUCUCAGGGCUUUUACCCAGGAGGCAAGGGCUAGAGGCAGGGACAAGCCACUACCCAAUCAGGGACAAGGUGGGAGUGGAACAGAGUUGGGUUACAUUCCGGUGUGGGAGGAUGGGCACGGCCGAGCAGGGACAAACCAUGUGAUACAUUUUCCAAGGGAACAGGGGAUACAGAAGAAAACCCAAUAUAAAAAUGAAAUACAAUAUAAACCAAAUUAAUGCACUACAACAAUUAGCAGAAUGACUAUUCCUGUUAUUUGGGCUGAAAACCUGGUAUCUCAUAGAAUCUCAGUGUCACCUUGGUUUUUCUGAGUUUUUUUAAAGCCUUCUGCUUGUUUAUAAGAUGGAGUCAGUUUCUUUAGUUUCUGCACAAUAUUAGGAGCAGUGUUUUGCUUUUCUCAUGCAUGGGGACAUAAACAAACCUUUUGUUUUCCUUCCCUGUCCUUUGUUUACAUAUUUCUAUCCUGAAAAUAAUGUAACUGACAGCUAGUCUAGCCAGUGGGGUGAAGGGGUAGUAACCCCAGAAGCCAAUCCACAAACAGACCCACAAAUGCAUAAAAAUGAAAGAAAUAAAGAGGCUCGCUCUCUUGGGGAGCAACUCUGCACUGCAAACCUCUCGUCUCCGUGUUAUCACUUUGCAUGCCACUACCACAUCUCAGGAUGAUUUGGGUUGAAAGAGACCUUCAGGCUCAUCCAGUGCCACCCCCUGCCAUGGGCAGGGAUACCUUCCAGUAUCCCAGGGUGCUCCAAGCUCCAUUCAACCUGGCCUUAGACACUUCCAGGGAUUGGGAGUCCACAAUCUCUCUGGGCGACUUGUGCCAGUGUUUUGUAAGUGGAAAUAGACAUUCCCAUUUAUUUUUAUGCACCAAAUCUGUGAAUAAUCUCCUUUGUGUUAGAUGAGGAAAUACAUUUUCUGGUUUAGCGCACCUGAUUGAACAUCUGUCCUAGAAUGGAGUGCACCAGCUCCCUAAGGUGCCAGCAUUUUUCUGUUGACUAUCAAGGGAGUCCAGACAACUCCAGUGUGAGCUCCUGCUUUGGGAGAGAUACCCAAAGCUCCCUGGAAGUCAUUCUUGUAUCAUCUUACCUGUGUUUUGUGUUUAAUACAAUUCUGGAGCAUGUAGUCACCCCCUUCACUAUCGGGGACCAGGUAAGAAGCUGUAGCUAAGCCAAAGGUUUUACUGAAGCACAGAUAAACAGACUCAAUGAGAAUCCUAAAUUCCUCAUCCUCAUCUUCCCAGAUUAAUAAACUCUAAAUGUUUUAUUUCAAUCAAUACUGAAUUUGACACAUAAAUCAAUUUUUACCUGGGACAAACUAUAAAAUUAACCAAGCACAAACCUCUUCUGUAGAUCAAUAACCCACUCAUCCCAAAAGUUAUAUAAAAUUAGGCAGAAGGACACUUUAAACACCAGGCACAGAACACAAAAAUGUGUCUUGUGGAAUUUUGCCACAAAAAUAUGUAUUAAUAUUACUGGUCAUAUGUGCCAUGACUAUGACACACACAGAAUCCUAAUUUCCCUUCCUCUGAACUCGUGACUGUGGGGCUGUUGCACACUUAAAUGAACCAGGCUGAGAGCAGAAUGUGUGGAAAGGAAUCGCCUAACGUUCCAACCCCCAUGAAUUUUAGCACAAAGGGAUGAGAAAGGAACAUGUAUCUGACUACCUGUUCCAGGAAGGUGAGAAGUCAAUCACCCAACAGCGACUUAGGUCUGUUCUGCCUUUAUUCAGGAAUGUCCUGAUCUACUUCAGUUCAAGAAGGUGGUCCAGGAAAACAUUCCUGAAGUACUUCAGAUCUCUGCUAUCAGGAGCAGGCCCUCCUCCUCUGCAGGACAUUCCCAAUUUUCAAACUAUUCCUCAGCAUUUGAGCAUCACUCUGUAAGUUCAGUGUGGGCUGUUCAGACUGACCAUCCUGUGCUGGUCACUUUUGGUUUGAUGUAGUCCCAUGUUUCUGUUUGCAGACUGGAUGGUUUUACCUCUGGAGUCAAUGACUCCUUAGAGAAUUCAAAUUUUAGCAUGGAAUUUUCUCAUUGAAACAGUGGCACAUCAAAAGAAGAUUAAUUUCUGAGUCAUUGCUUUGAUUUGAGAUGGUUCAUCAAUUCAGUUUUAGGUGAUUUUGUACUGAAUAAAAAAAUGACAGUUUGGGCAAAAACAUCCAAAAAGUCACGUUACAAACUAAUACUCCAGAAUAAACUUAUUCUCCUGGCUACAACCAAGUCUGUAAUUUCCUGCAUAGUUACAGCCAUUUAUACUUGCAGCAUAACAGCAUCUCACGGCAGCUUAUCCUGUCUCUUUAGAGGGAAAUCAUCUUCUCACUAGUCAUUAUUUAGGUCAGUUUGUGGUUUAAUGAAUUUUUUCUUUUAAAUAAAAGUGUUUGAGAAAAUUUAAAGGUGAAAAAUGAGGCAGAGCAAAUAUAAUGCAAAAAUCAGUUGUGAAUUUUAAAUCUGUGCUUCACUUGCACAUUUUGAUCCAAACUGUUGGUCGUGCAAGUUGUUCAGAUGUUGACAGACCCUUCAAUAAAUUCCUGUUUCUCUUCCACAAAGACUUCUCCCAGAAUACAGAAAGGAUGAAAGAGUAACUGCAGGGAGACAGGACAAACCUCCUGAGGCAACUCAAGCACAAACCUUGAUGGUAAUGGAGAACUCAGAGACCAAGAGCUCUUGAAAUGUGUUUCAGGCCACAUUUAAUUCAGAAGAUGGAGAAAACUACUGCAAACACUAUUUAAAAUCUUGAUUAACACAGGAGAACAUGAAGGAGGCAUGAUUGAAUUUGGUUACAUGGUUACACUGAGGCUGGAAAAUGCCUUUCCCAUGAUUCAGGAGGCCAGUCAGAGCCAUCCUUAAAUAAUUGUUGUGUUUUAACAAAAUAAUCAUGGCAUUGAUGGAUCAACAUUGACUGGAGGAAGGGGAAGAAGGGUGGCUCCGUGGAUGGAAAAUUGCUCAGCUUAACUGCAAAGUGCAGGAAGAUAAUAAACUAUUGACAUCUCAGCCCUUGGAGAGGGAGAUGACGUAAAAAGUGACAAAUCAAAAAGUCACCAUGAAUUUGUCAAUAACUGGGGAACAGCUGUUCAGGGAGCAGCACUGAAAGGGAUCCGGGGAUUACAGGGGAUCAGGAGGAGUGUGAACCAACAUGGUGAUGCUGUUGCUGACUCUGCAAAUGCCACGCUCAGAUCUGUUACCUAACUAACCUGAUUACUGGAUACAGACCUGGGCAGGAAUGCAAAGUGGAGUCCAGAGGAGCCUAAGAAUGACAAAAGGUUUAGAAAAUAUGGCCUAUGAGAUCAUGAGUGUGAAAAGUGCAUAUUAUAUGGCUCUACGCAAGGUAUUUACUAUAUGUAUUAUGUUGUAUUGAUUAGUAAUGUUGUAUUAAUAUUUUGAUAGUAUGGUAAAUGUAGUUUUGUAGUUAAAAUAGAAAUGUAUUUUUUAAGAAGGGAGAGAAUAUUCGCAAAGAGAUAGCAGCCACAGGAAAACGUAAAUCUUUCAGAGAAAAAGAAUUUAUGACUUCCUUAUCAGAAGAGACCAACUUCUCCUGCCUCGCUAAACCCUGAAGACACCAUAGAGAUUAAGGGAAAAAAAGUGACACUGACCAGAGAGAAUUCUUUGUUUGAAUGGAAUUUAUGCAUCAUGUAUGAAAUGUAUGAAUAUUCAACAGGCUAUUGCUUUUAAGAGAUAAUCCUCUGUUAACGAGUGUCCUUUUUCGGAGCUUUUUGCUCGGAAAGGCACCCAGACGUCUGUUACUUUGUUUUUAUUGUCUCGUAUUGU